CGAAGAGAGGAGGCGGCCCCGCGGCUCCCCACGAGCCCGCGCCCGGAGCUCCGGAGGGUCACGCUGGCCCGCGGGGGUCUCCAGCCGGCCGCCGGGCCUGCGUGGGCAGCGUCGUGGGGAGUCCAGGGCACUCCGCAUAAAGACACUUUGAGAGAAUUUUCCUCCACAUCCUUCAGGAAAUCUGGACCAAAAGCUGGCCAGAGGCAGGAGCACCCCACAUCCCUCAGCCCUGAGCAGAAGCAGGCUUCCCAGGCCCACCUUGUCCUAACCCUGGUACCCACGAUAGCACCAGAGACUGCAAUCUCCAAGUGUCGCCGUGGAGAGCAAACAAGACACCACACGGACAACCUUAACACAGUGCCUGACAGAAAGCAAGUGCUGGAUAAAUGCUAGCGCACUGCUGCGGGAGCCUCUCCACUUCUGUUUACAUCUCCUGCCCCAACACUCUAGCACACACGAGUUCUCCUAACUGAGCCCCAGCAGUGCUCUGAAG
rnacentral:lncRNA from 1 species